rnacentral:rRNA from 1 species
CGCUGGCGGCAUGCCUAACACAUGCAAGUCGAACGAAGCCUUCGGGCCUAGUGGCGCACGGGUGCGUAACGCGUGGGAAUCUGCCCCUCGGUUCGGAAUAACAGUUAGAAAUGACUGCUAAUACCGGAUGAUGACGAAAGUCCAAAGAUUUAUCGCCGAGGGAUGAGCCCGGCGUAGGAUUAGCUUGUUGGUGGGUGAUGGCCCACCAAGGCGACGAUCCUUAGCUGGUCUGAGAGGAUGAUCAGCCACACUGGGACUGAGACACGGCCCAGACUCCUACGGGAGGCAGCAGUGGGGAAUAUUGGACAAUGGGCGAAAGCCUGAUCCAGCAAUGCCGCGUGAGUGAUGAAGGCCUUAGGGUUGUAAAGCUCUUUUACCAGGGAUGAUAAUGACAGUACCUGGAGAAUAAGCUCCGGCUAACUCCGUG